rnacentral:lncRNA from 1 species
AAGCACAAUGUACUUGGUGCUUAUAUGUUUUCUAUCAUUACAUCUGCACCUUUGUCCAUUUCUAUCUGUUAGAUUAUACUACUCAACUAACAACCCAUUCAAUUUUAGGGAACUAUUAUCAUCCUAACUGUACAGUCCUUAAUUCAAAGGCCAAAAAUCUACGAGCAUCAAUAACUUGAUACUUUUAAAAGUAUAGGAGCUCAAUUCUAUAUAUAUAGAGAGAGAAAGAGAGAGUACGAUACUCUUAUGAGUACGAUCGCUUUCGUACUCAUAAGUCGUUUUCGAUGAUAAAGUUUCUGAAUCGACGAUUCAUAUCAUUAAAUAUUAUUUAGAGCAUUUAAAACUUCUAGAAAUCAAAUUUUAUAAUUUUUCGGUAUCAUUUACCUUACGAUCAAAAGAUCACAAAAUUGACAAUUUUUAAUGGCCGGUAUAAGAUAUUUGCUAGUUUAACGGUGUAAAAGAAUUGGAAUAGAAUUUUUGAUAGAAAAUUUUAAUUACUAUCUAAAUAAAGAUCAAUAACUCCAAUCUUAUAUUGAAGGAUCAGAUUAUUCAUUUUUAGUACGUCGUACAAUUUUGACGGUUCAUUUUAUGCCCGCUUAAUGGACUUUUUUAUGAUUUCAAAAAAUUACAAAAUUUACUUUUUUAGAAAUUUCAAAUAUUGUAGAUCAUAUUUAACGAAGUGGAUCGUUGAUUCGGAAGAUCCGUUAUCGAAAAAAAUUUAUGAGUACGAAGAGCUCUAUAUAUAUAGUAGCCCUACUCUCUCUCUCUCUUUCUAUAUAUAGAGAGAGAGACUCUCUCGAAUUAUAUAUAUAGAGAGAGAGAGUCCGGCUACUAUUCUCUUAUAAGUACGAUCGGCUUCGUACUCAGAAAUCGUUUUCGAUGAUAGAGCUUCCGAAUUGACGAUCCAUAAUGUUAAACAUUAUCUAGAACAUUUAAAACUUUUAGAUAUCAAAUUUUAUAAUUUUUUGAUAUUAUUUAUCUUACAAUAAAAAAAAUCUCAAAUUAAUAAGUUUUAAUGGUCGAUAUGGGAUAUUUACUAGUUUAACGGUAUAAAAGAAUUAUAAUCAGUUGAAUAGUUGCUAGAAAAUUCUAUUCACUAUCUAGAUAAAGAUCAAUAAGUCUGAUCUUAAACGAUUAUCGAUCCAUUUUUAUGACAUCAUUCAAUUUUGACUAUUCAUCGGAUUGAUGGACUUCAUUAUGAUUUCAAAAAAUUACGAAAUUUAUUUUUUAGAAGUUUCAAAUACUCUAGAUCAUAUUUAACGGAUUGGAUCGUCCAAUUGGAAGCUCCAUCAUUGAAAACAGCUUAUGAGUUCG